rnacentral:rRNA from 1 species
GAUGAACGCUAGCGGCAGGCCUAACACAUGCAAGUCGGGGGGCAGCACAAUAAGUAGCUUGCUACUUAUGGUGGCGACCGGCGCACGGGUGCGUAACGCGUAUGCAACCUACCCAUAACAGGGGGAUAACACUGAGAAAUUGGUACUAAUACCCCAUAACAUUUUGGAAGGCAUCUUCCGAAGUUGAAAACUCCGGUGGUUAUGGAUGGGCAUGCGUUGUAUUAGCUAGUUGGUGAGGUAACGGCUCACCAAGGCGACGAUACAUAGGGGGACUGAGAGGUUAACCCCCCACACUGGUACUGAGACACGGACCAG